GCGGACGUGGCGGAAUUGGUAUACGCAGCAGACUUAAAAUCUGCCGUCUUUUAAAUGACAUACGGGUUCAAGUCCCGUCGUCCGCACCA
rnacentral:tRNA from 1 species